CAAGGUACAUUUUCUAAGACAAGUUGGAUAGAAUCUUUCAUAUUCCCCAAAACAAGUUUGAAAUGCAAGUCCACUCACCGGUAUUCGUUGAGCCUUUAGCCGACUCUUAAUUCCCCUAAUGAUCCAAUUGGGGUGAUGGGGCUUCGUUAGCACCUACCAUCAAAUUAACAUUUCCAUAAUGUCAAUUUACAUACUAUAAACCCUAAAAGCUAUCUUUUAGCUAGCUUUCAAUUGCCAUUUAAAUGGCCAUCCAUUUUCACUUUCCUAUCACUCCAAAGUGAAUUAACAAUCUCAACUACAAA
rnacentral:lncRNA from 1 species